GCUUGCGUGGUGUAAUGAUCAGUACACUCAGCUCAUAUUCGAGAGGCCCGAGGUUCGAGUCCCGGCGAAGGCA
rnacentral:tRNA from 1 species